ensembl:lncRNA
GCCUUGCAAGCGCGUGGUCUUGAGUUCGAUCCCUGGUACGCCCCCCCCCCCCCAGAUAAAUGGGAGUUGAAAACAUCUGUGAGACUCAGGGCUCCUGGCUCCUGUAUGGAGGGGAUGGGGUGAAGCCUGAUGAUGAGGGCUCUAGUGCCCCCUCUGGUGUCCUGAGGUGUUGUCACAGCUGAGAAGCAGAUUGUUGAGAUAAAGGAUUUGGAUUCCCUGCCAGGAGUAUUAUAAAACUCAAAAAUUUACCAACUUGUCAUUUCUGACCAAAUUCUAUAUAAAACUUUGGAUAGAGCUUAAAAAAGAAAAGCUUUAAAGAAUCCCAAGAUUUUACCCAGCACUCGGGAGGCUAAGGCAGGAGGAUUGUCCCAAGUUCGAGGCCAGCCUUGAUACAUAGUUCAAGGCCAGCUUGAAUGACAUAGUGAGACCCUGUCUUAAAAAAAAAAAAAAGAUUUUAAAGAGUCCCAAGUUACCAGAGUCAAGCACAACUGCAUUUAGGAAGGGAAAUAAGUUUAUUUUGUGUCUUUAGGGGCAGCUCUGACUUUUAACUAUGCUUCACAAAACCCAAACCGUAACUUUGUCGUCCUACAAGCAAGAGCCUGUCUCGUACGUCCUCAGAACUAGCAGCAGUGGGAACUCAGCCUGGGUACUGGUGGGUUUACAAUUUUCCUCAUAAAAUGUGGAGGGUAGCUGGUUCUCUGAGAGGCUGGGAUGGAGAGGGCAACAUCUGUCACACAUACUUCCCUUUAAAAAACGGGAAAGAUGCAGUGGCUGCCCCACCACUUUCUGUUCAGUAGCUCCGCUUUUGCCUGAAGGAAUAGCAAGUGCUCCCACUUCUCUGUCUGGAGAUCUUUUUGGUACCUUCUCAAUUAGCAAACCACACAGCCUAAAAAUACACUCAUCAUUAUCCCAAGUUUAUUUUGGUUCUUCCCUGUUGCUCAUUCCUAGAAAACGAGUUCAGGAUAGCAGGAUUUUGGUUGUGACUUUUUGAAAAGGAAGGAAACCUUGAAGGUCAUGUUUGGAAGAGCUCUGCUGAGGAAACUUACUGUCUUGGGUCUUAGUCCCUGGCCAUCCACCUGUUCACAUUUCCAUUGAGCUAUUUUGCCCCCUUGUAAUUCACUUGGCUGCUUAGGUGGUUCAGAUGAGGGUUCAGCUUCAGAGCCCUGGAGAGCCCCCGAGAGGGGUUCUGUAUGUAGGGGUCCCUGUGUAUGUCCAGAGCCUCUGCCAUGGUACACCUUCCUUGGACUAACUUGGGUUGGAGGAUUUGCUAGAACUCUGCCCUUUCACUUGAAAGUCAAAGCCAAGGAGAAUGGUCAGAGAGCCUUAGGCCUGGAGCUGACCAUUCCUGUGACAGGCCGGGAGGUUGUGCCCCUUUAGACACUGCUUAACUGUAAGUGGCCAUAAUGCAGAGAUGUGGGCUCUGUGGACAGCUGCAUCCUGGGUGCUGUUUACUUUAUCAUUUUGAUCACCUCGCGGUUUGAACUGUUGGUCUCUGAGGCCAAGUCUGCAACUUGCCUUUCACUCACUUGUCUGCCUUUCAGUGGUGGUCGAUCGGCUAGCUGGCAGAUAGGAGUCAGUCACCAGUCUCCGUGUCUUGUCUUGGCUAGGACCUGUGGGAGCAGCUUAGUCCUGAGACCCAGAGAACUGCUAUCCUUUUUCUCCUUGAGGGAGGAAAUGAAACAGGAACACAAUGUUCUUCCACAGCAUAGGAAGAAGAAAAUAAAAUCUCCUUUCCAACAAAUC